AUUGAACGCUGGCGGCAUGCUUUACACAUGCAAGUCGAACGGUAACAGGCCUUCGGUUGCUUCUGUGUGGCUAACGGGUGAGUAAUUCAUCGGCACGUACCCAGCGGUGCGUUCUAAGGCAGCCAAAGCUGUGCUAAUACCGCAUGUGAUCUGAGGAUGACAGCGGGGGACCGAGCAGCAAUGUUUGGCCUCGCUCCUUUGGAGCGCCCGAUGUCGGAUUGGCUAGUUGGUGGGGUAAAGGCCUACCAAGGCGACGAUCCGUAGCGGGUCUGAGUGGACGACGAGCCAAACUGGAACUGAGCAAGGGCCCAGCCUCCUACGGGAGGCGGCGGUGGGGAAUUUUGGACAAUGAGGGAAGGCCUGAGCAGGCACGCCCGCGUGCGGAAGGCAGGCUUUCGGGUUGAAAGCCGCUUUUGGCAGGACGGAAGCGGUGUGCGCUAAUACCGCGAGGUAAUGACGGUACCUGAAGAAAAAGCCACGGCUAACUACGUG
rnacentral:rRNA from 1 species